UGGCAAUGAUGGCGAAGAGGUCACACCCGUUCCCAUUCCGAACACGGAAGUUAAGUUCUUCAGCGCCGAUGGUAGUUGGGGGUUUCCCCCUGUGAGAGUAGGACGUUGCCAG
rnacentral:rRNA from 2 species